GACGAACGCUGGCGGCGUGCUUAACACAUGCAAGUCGAACGAUGAAGCGGUGCUUGCACCGUGGUUUAGUGGCGGACGGGUGAGUAAUACGUGCGUGACUUACCUUUCACUCUGGGAUAAGCCUGGGAAACUGGGUCUAAUACCGGAUACGACCAAUCUCUGACUGGGUUGUUGGUGGGAAGAGUUCUGGCGUGGUUUUAGAUGGGCACACGGCCUAUCUGCGUGUUGUAGAGGGUAAGGCUUACCAAGGCCAAGACGGGUAGCCGACCCUAGAGGGUGACCGGCGACACUAGGACUGCGACACGGCCCAGACUCCUACGUGAGGCAGCAGUCGGGAAUAUUACACAAUGGGCGCAAGCCUGUUGCAGCGACGCCGCGUGAGGGAUGACGGCCUUCGGGUUGUAAACCUCUGUUAGCAUCGAAGAAGCGAAAGUGACGGUAGGUGCAGAGAAAGCGCCGGCUAACUACGUG
rnacentral:rRNA from 1 species